GCCUCGCGCGCUUGCGCACGUCGGAGGGCCGCCCCUGGUCCGUGGGUCGGAUAUCUGGCGGUCACACCCAGCGCGAAGAUCUGCGGGCGGAAACGGAAUCUGCUCCUUCCGGGAAAGGCUGGCUGCGCGGUUGCGUGCAGCGUGUGUUGAGGAGCAGCUCUGGAAACUUAAAGAGCCCGACGAUCAAGUGAUCUUGCCAACUACCAUUUUAAUCAACUUCAUGUUUUAUUUUGUUGUGGUGGUACAGAGCCCAAUGCAAGCCCUGGCAGAUGUCUUCAACACCAGAGUGACACUCAGGCCAGGAUUGAGGGCUGGAAGCACAGGGGCAAGAAAUACCUUUGAAACACUCCAGUGCCCAAAUUGCUCACUGGUGUUUCUGCCUUGUGAGCCAGGGCACGAGGCUUUGUUUGGGUCACUACUUUUCAUUCCUUCCAAGAUGGACAAGAUGUUUGUUUUGUGCACAGUAAGUGGAACACAGGGCCUCCAGCAUGGUGCUUGUAUGAUCUCAUCAGAAACUAAGGUUUGUAUUGGAAUUCAGCACUCCCCAUAUGCCAGACACAUGCAUGUGCUUUUCCUGAACUGUUUUUCUGUCUAAUCCCUGACAGCUAAUCUGAGUAUCCCCUACCAAUUCUGAGGUGAGCCAGAACUCAAAACUAAGGGCCUGAAGGCUGCUAUCAUAGACCAUGAGCAGCUGCUCCGACCACAGUCCUGGCACAGACCUCCCACAAGAGCAUUUCCACCUCCUGGAAAGAUAAAUUCAUAUUCAUGUUCUGUCUCUCCAUCUUGUGUGUAUGGGAGGAGUGAUAUGCACGUGUAUGUAGAGGCCAAAGUGUCUUCCUAAAUCAUACCUUUUCCUUUUUAAGAAUGAAUCUCAGGCUGGUGAACCGGCUCACUAGGUAAAGGUGCUUGCCACCAAGGGUAAUUACCUGAAUUCAUAUGGUAAGAGAGGAC
rnacentral:lncRNA from 1 species